CCUCCAGCAACAGUGCUCCCCGCUCCGUUCUCGAUAUAGGUGCGGGUCCUACCAAUGUUACCCACACCUAUCAGACAAUGGGGGCAUAUUCAAGCGAAAUCCCCCCAUUGUCUAUGAGAAUACCCCUUUA